rnacentral:rRNA from 1 species
UUCGGUGGGGAUUAGUGGCGAACGGGUGAGUAACACGUGGGCAAUCUGCCCUGCACUCUGGGACAAGCCCUGGAAACGGGGUCUAAUACCGGAUACUGACCAUCACGGGCAUCCGUGGUGUUCGAAAGCUCCGGCGGUGCAGGAUGAGCCCGCGGCCUAUCAGCUAGUUGGUGAGGUAAUGGCUCACCAAGGCGACGACGGGUAGCCGGCCUGAGAGGGCGACCGGCCACACUGGGACUGAGACACGGCCCAGACUCCUACGGGAGGCAGCAGUGGGGAAUAUUGCACAAUGGGCGAAAGCCUGAUGCAGCGACGCCGCGUGAGGGAUGACGGCCUUCGGGUUGUAAACCUCUUUCAGCAGGGAAGAAGCGAAAGUGACGGUACCUGCAGAAGAAGCGCCGGCUAACUACGUGCCAGCAGCCGCGGUAAUACGUAGGGCGCAAGCGUUGUCCGGAAUUAUUGGGCGUAAAGAGCUCGUAGGCGGCUUGUCACGUCGGUUGUGAAAGCCCGGGGCUUAACCCCGGGUCUGCA